GUUUCGAGGAGAUCGGGUCGGAGGAUGAUUUUUUCUCUACUUAUAUGGAUAUUGAGAAGCUCGCCAGUGGAUCUAAUCUCACUGAUAUCGAUGCUGCUGCUGCUCGAGUGGGAGUCGAGAGUAGUGAUGGAGAGAAGAAGCCACGUCAUAGGCAUAGUAAUUCUGUUGAUAGUUCAAGUUUGUUGAUGACGGAGAGUAUUGAAGCUAAGAAAGCU
rnacentral:misc_RNA from 1 species